UGGCUCUCGCAUCGAUGAAGAACGCAGCGAAAUGCGAUAAGUAAUGUGAAUUGCAGAAUUCAGUGAAUCAUCGAAUCUUUGAACGCACCUUGCGCUCCUUGGUAUUCCGAGGAGCAUGCCUGUUUGAGUGUCUUGAAGUCAUCAACCGAGCCCUGUGUUCCAUCCGUGGAACCGGGCGAGGCUGGAAUCUGGGGGCAAUGCUGCCGCUAGGCUGCUCCCCUCAAAUGCAUCGGUUGGGCCUGUGGGUCGAACUCGACUGGGCGUUGUACCAUCCUCGCUCUCCACGAGAAGGACCCCUGACGUGCCCUCCCGCGACCGGCCUGUGGAGCGGCGGUCAACACACACUUUGAAAUCUGACCUCAAAUCAGGUAGGACUACCCGCUGA
rnacentral:misc_RNA from 1 species